AGAGUUUGAUCAUGGCUCAGAUUGAACGCUGGCGGCAGGCUUAACACAAGCAGGUCGAGCGGUAACAGGAAUAGCUUGCUAUUUGCUGACGAGCGGCGGACGGGUGAGUAAUGCUUGGGAAUAUGCCUUAUGGUGGGGGACAACAGUUGGAAACGACUGCUAAUACCGCAUAAUGUCUACGGACCAAAGGGGGGGAUCUUCGGACCUCUCGCCAUUUGAUUAGCCCAAGUGAGAUUAGCUAGUUGGUAAGGUAAUGGCUUACCAAGGCGACGAUCUCUAGCUGGUUUGAGAGGAUGAUCAGCCACACUGGGACUGAGACACGGCCCAGACUCCUACGGGAGGCAGCAGUGGGGAAUAUUGCACAAUGGGGGAAACCCUGAUGCAGCCAUGCCGCGUGUGUGAAGAAGGCCUUCGGGUUGUAAAGCACUUUCAGUUGUGAGGAAAGGUGUGUAGUUAAUAGCUGCAUACUGUGACGUUAACAACAGAAGAAGCACCGGCUAACUUCGUGCCAGCAGCCGCGGUAAUACGAGGGGUGCAAGCGUUAAUCGGAAUUACUGGGCGUAAAGCGUUCGUAGGCGGUUGAAUAAGCAAGAUGUGAAAGCCCAGGGCUCAACCUUGGAACUGCAUUUUGAACUGUUCGACUAGAGUACUGUAGAGGGGGGUAGAAUUUCA
rnacentral:rRNA from 1 species